rnacentral:rRNA from 1 species
GACGAACGCUGGCGGCGUGCCUAAUACAUGCAAGUCGAACGCAGUGGGGACGGGUGAGUAACACGUGGGUAACCUCCCAUCAGAGGGGAUAACACUUGGAAACAGGUGCUAAACCGAAAUUGAAGGAUGGACCCGCUGUGCAUUAGCUAUAUGGGGAGGUAACGGCUCACCAAGGCCACGAUGCAUAGCCGACCUGUGAGGGGGAUGGGCCACACUGGGACAGAGAGACGGCCCAGACUCAUACGGAAGGAAGCAGUAGGGAAUCUUCGGCAAUGGACUAAAUUCUGCCCGAGCAACGCCGCGUGAGUGAAGAAGGUUUUCGGAUCGUAAAACUCUGUUGUUAGAGAAGCGGUAUCUAACCAGAAAGCCACGGCUAACUACGUGCCAGCCGCCGCGGUAAUUC